AGUUUGAUCCUGGCUCAGGAUGAACGCUAGCGGCAGGCUUAAUACAUGCAAGUCAAGGGGGUAGCAAUACAACCGGCGCACGGGUGAGUAACGCGUACACAACAUACCAUAUACUGGAGUAUAGCUUUGGGAAACUGAAGGUAAUCCUCCAUAACAUUGCGAGAGGGCAUCUGAUUGCAAUUAAAGUUUCGGCGGUAUAUGAUUGGUGUGCGUUUGAUUAGCUAGUUGGUAGGGUAACGGCCUACCAAGGCGACGAUCAAUAGCUGGCGUGAGAGCGCGACCAGCCACACUGGAACUGAGACACGGUCCAGACUCCUACGGGAGGCAGCAGUAGGGAAUAUUGGACAAUGGAGGAAACUCUGAUCCAGCCAUGCCGCGUGAUAGAUGAAGGCCCUCUGGGUUGUAAAUAUCUUUUAUCUGGGAAGAAACACUCCUAUUCUUAGGAACUUGACGGUACCAGAGGAAUAAGCACCGGCUAACUCCGUG
rnacentral:rRNA from 1 species